CAAAGGAUAUGUCUUUUCCUCUGCUUGAAAAGAGACUUUGAAGAAGUUGGAAAAUUGUCAGACUUGUCCGAUUCUGACCCAGAGAUUGUUAUUAGAAAAUCCUCCGACUUUGAUCUUGCUGAUACACUGCCAUGGGAACCUAUGGAUGAGAGCAGUCGUUU